GGACAGACAGGCAACAUAGCAAGACUUUCAAAUAACUAAAUAAAUAGGAGUAGGAGAGAAAAUAUUGAGUUAAUAUUUGUGAGCUCUUCUAUGCAAAUAGCAUAUAGUUGACAUUGCUAGACUUCAGUGACAGUGACUGAAAAGCUUAACUAUACGUAUUCUUCAAUAUAUUUAUUUUUUUUCUUUUGAACCCAGUAAUAUAGGCUACAACCUGAUGCACUGCAUGGGAAUGUUGAGCAGAUGAAUGUAACUUAGGGACCUGGCAAAGACAAACUUGAGGCAUGUUAGCAAAAUUAUCAUCAGGUGCAUGCUCUUGUUCCUGGGAUUUCAACAGUAGUGUUCUUUAUACCAUGUGUUUUCCCAAAGACUAUAGUGGUUCUAUAAAUUAAGUGAUGCAAACAAUUAAAAUUAAUUUAAUAUAGUCAUAGCACAAACCUAUGUUUGGAUGAGAGAUAAGCCAACAACACCCCACCCCCUUGCCACCAGUCAUUCCCAGAUAAUUCUAUUUAAAAGGGAAAACAAAUUAUUUUAUUGUUAAUGUUUUCAGUGGAAUUGAAUUGGACAUCCUAAAGCUUUUAAUGAUGCAAUAGCUUCUUUGUAAAUGUCUUUCUGGUCUCCUAGGGGUAUGGGCACCACUAA
rnacentral:lncRNA from 1 species